GGAUUCUGCAAAGUUGGUUCCGCUGCCUCGCGGUACUCGUUCCAACCCCGCCCCUGCCAGGAGUGACGCAACCCUUCUUUGCUCCCGGUUGCUUGGAAACGACAGAUCACCUUCCCGGAGAGAUUCAGAUAAAGAAACCGCCGCCAAGGUUGACAUCAAGAUAGCCUGGAACUGAUGGUUGUGAGCUGUCACAUGGAGAAUCGAAAUUGAACCUGGGUCCUCUGGAAGGGCAACCAAUAUCCUUAACUGCUGAGCUAUUUCUCCAGCCCCUUCCACCAUCGGUUCUCUUGGCAGAGAAAACAAGAGAAAAAGGACACUAUGGAAAAAUAAAGAAAAAAUAAUGUAGCAGCUGCUUGAAACUCUUUAAGAGCUCUCUAGGGGGGGGGUGAAUUAAGUCUCAAGAGCGUAACACAUUUAAAAAAGCAGGUCAGUGUGAAGGCAGUUUGAAGUCUUGCUCUCUAAAGUUAGGCUGGAUGAAUUCAAAGUGUGUUUCUGCCAUUUAGUAGUGCAACCUUGGGCAAGUUCUUUACUUUCUGUUUCCUUCUACAAUGGCCUUGAAUAAGCAGGAUGAGGGGAAGGGCACGGACACAGAUUUUAUAUUAUUUUUUAAAAGAUUUAUUUUAUUAUUAUACAUAAGUACACUGUAGCUGUCUUCAGACACACCAGAAGGCAUCAGAUCUCAUUACUGAUGGUUGUGAGCCACCAUGUGGUUGCUGGGAUAUGAACUCAGGACCUUUGGAAGAGCAGUCAGUGCUCCUACCCACUGAGCCAUCUCUCCAGACCCCAGAUUUUAUAUUCUUAGUGGAUAUGUCCAAAAUUAAUCUACUUACCUUUCAUUCUCAUGUAUGUCUAUGGGAGGGCAUUAUGUUAGCUGUUAGAUUAUCCUUGUGUUUCCUUCCUAGUUCCAGAAUAGCAGCUGGCAGCCACCAAGCACAACCUGAGUUCUUUUUUUUUUUUUUAAGAUUUAUUUAUUAUGUGUAAGUACACUGUAGCUGUCUUCAAACACUCCAGAAGAGGGCAUCAGAUCCCAUUACAGACGGUUGUGAGCCACUAUGUGGGUGCUGGAAAUUGAACUCAGGACCUCUGGAAGAGCAGUCAGUGCUCUUAACUGCUGAGCCAUCUCUCCAGCCCGUGUUUUGUAUUUUGAGACAGGGUUUCUUUGUGGAGCCCUGGCUGUCCUGGAACUGACUGUGCAGAGCAUACUGGCUUCCGACUCAGAGAUUCAUACACCUCUGCCUGCUGAGUGCCAAGACUAAAAGCCCACGCCACUGCUACCGGGAGUUUCUGUAUAGGAUCAGCUUCCUUAUUAAACACCACAUUCCCAAAGAGGGAGGCCACUGAGCAAACGACAGGGACGAGCAUGAAGAACUCCAAGAAUCAUGUUGACUGUGGUGUCUGCACUGAGUCCCAGGCUGCAGACGCACCACCACUCUUCGUCUCAGCUUUACUCUAGCAGAAAUGUAUGUAUUUAUUUAUUUAUUUACUUACUUACUUAUUUUUGAGACAGGGUAUCUCUAUGUGGCC